rnacentral:snRNA from 1 species
AGCUUUGCACAGUGGUAGUAUCAUAGCCAAUGAGAUUUAUCUGAGGCAUGACUAUUGCUAAUUGAAAAAUGUUUAUUUUG